rnacentral:rRNA from 1 species
AGUGAACGCUGGCGGUAGGCCUAACACAUGCAAGUCGAACGGCAGCACAGUAAGAGCUUGCUCUUACGGGUGGCGAGUGGCGGACGGGUGAGGAAUACAUCGGAAUCUACUUUUUCGUGGGGGAUAACGUAGGGAAACUUACGCUAAUACCGCAUACGACCUACGGGUGAAAGCAGGGGAUCUUCGGACCUUGCGCGAUUGAAUGAGCCGAUGUCGGAUUAGCUAGUUGGCGGGGUAAAGGCCCACCAAGGCGACGAUCCGUAGGUGGUCUGAGAGGAUGAUCAGCCACACUGGAACUGAGACACGGUCCAGACUCCUACGGGAGGCAGCAGUGGGGAAUAUUGGACAAUGGGCGCAAGCCUGAUCCAGCCAUACCGCGUGGGUGAAGAAGGCCUUCGGGUUGUAAAGCCCUUUUGUUGGGAAAGAAAAGCAGCAGGUUAAUACCCCGCUGUUCUGACGGUACCCAAAGAAUAAGCACCGGCUAACUUCG